AACGAACGCUGGCGGCGUGCUUAAUACAUGCAAGUUGUGCGAGAAAGCGGGGGCAACUCCGCAAGUACAGCGGCGAACGGGUGAGUAACACGUAAGCAACCUGCCUUCAAGUCUGGAAUAACCCUGCCAACGCGGGGCUAAUACCGGAUGUGGUCCUCGGGCCGCAUGGUCUGAGGAUUAAAGCUGACCUCUACACGUAAGUUUGCGCUUGAAGAUGGGCUUGCGCACCAUUAGCUAGUUGGCAGGGUAACGGCCUACCAAGGCUGUGAUGGUUAGCCGACCUGAGAGGGUGAUCGGCCACAUUGGGACUGAGAUACGGCCCAGACUCCUACGGGAGGCAG
rnacentral:rRNA from 1 species